UUUUCCUCGGCACUUUUGCACCAAAUGGUUGCUCUUGGGGGUGAUUGUUUGGUCUUUGUAAAUUAUAGUGUGUGGUCUAGACCUACUCAAUCUCUAAA